GGAAGGAUCAUAACAAAUCCAAAACCUAAUUUAUAAAACCACCGGUUAGUGUUAAUCCGGAACAAGGCAAGCAGUAAAUGGCAAGAUUUGGAAGAGAAAGAGGAGACUCUUUUAAUUCUAAUUCUUGUUUGCUUGUCGGUGUCAAAAAGCGCUCAGUGGAAUUUUUGUUCUAGUCUGACUAGAAUGGGGGUUCCAUUGAUAAAUACAAACCACGCGUAAAAGCUUAUCUCGAAUAAGAAGGAAAAACUCAAUAGAGAUAUUGAUUAUUUUUGAUUAUUCGAGAAUUGUAUGAAAAACACAACUCAAUAACUAAAACAAAUCACAAAGAAAGAACUAUUUUAACCAAUACGACUUUCAACAAUGGAUAUCUAGGCUCCCGCAACGAUGAAGAACGCAGCAAAGUGCGAUAAAUAAUGUGAAUCGCAGAACUCCGUGAAUCAUCGAAUCUUUGAACGCAUCCUGCGCUUGGACUGUUUCCGGACAGUCGAGCAUGCUCGGUUGAGAGUGAUUACUAGUUUAAUCAUUCAAUUAUUUCAUACAAUAAGGAUGCGUUCCUGUUGGAAGUAAUUGUUUAAUGAUUGAUUGAGUUUCCUUUUGGUUUAUUUCAAAAGGAAGGUGUGAAUGCUUGUUUCUGAUUGAGAAGAGUAAAAUCAACUCGACAGUCAAGUGAAAAACCCCUAAAAUUCAAUCAAGCAUUGAAAAAAAUGAGUGGUUGCAAAUGAAUAAUUAAAUAAUGAGGAACUCGUUCAACAUCAUUUGAUCUAUCCAUUUACAUACUACAACAAUCAUUUCAUUCAAUGCUUAAUUAAAAAAAACUGGAAAACAUGUUAAUUAUUCAUUUAUAACAUCUCUCUUAUUUAAACACUUGUGUUUGAACAAGAAGAAUAUAAAUGAAGAAUAACAUCCAAAUUAUAUCACAUCAACUCGAGCAAGAAAACCCGCUGAAUUGAAGCAUCUUAAUAAGCGGAGGAAAAGAAAACAACAGUGAUUCCCUUAGUAACGGCGAGUGAAAAGGGAAAAGCCCAAGCCGAGAAUCCCCGUGGCUGAGCAGUGAGCAGCAAUGUUUAUUGUUUCAACACGCCACUGGGAAUUGUAGUCUUGAGACGCGCCCAAGAACAUGCACACCUGGCAAGGCCCAAAGUCACAUGGAAAGGUGCACCACAGAGGGUGAGAGUCCCGUGUGGGCCAAGCAAAUAAGGGGGAAGUGCGUGAUUCAGCAAGGGUGGCAGUCAGCGAGUCGGGUUGCUUGAGAGUGCAGCCUGAAACGGGUGGUAUACUCCACCUAAGGCUAAAUAUGGGCGGGAGACCGAUAGCGAACAAGUACCGCGAGGGAAAGAUGAAAAGUACUCUGAAAAGAGAGUGCGAAGACCUUGAAAUUGUUGAAAGGGAAGCGAUUGGAGGCAACACAGGGUGCCUGCCAUUGUAGGUGGCGGAGUGACCAUCGAAAGAUGAUCGCCUCACUUGCUAACUGGCAGUACAAACUGGCAUCAGUUAAGAGAUACUGGCGUGAGAAUCACUGAGCGGUAGGUGGCACUGACAUUACAGUAAUGUAGUGGCAUAAAAAAGUGCACACUCGCAUCGGACGAACUGAUCACGGCUGGCUUGACUGAGGUAAAUUCGAUGCAGCAGUCUCUUCGGAGGCGGGAUGGACAAUGUUCGUUCUGCAAUUCGCAAGCAAGCACAUAGAGGACAGGGACCGGGGUUGUGGCGAAAGUUACAGCCCCAAGGCUUCUUCUGGACUCGGUGCAGGCGGGCGGGAGGCAGUGGCGAGCACUAAAACGGCCAAUCCCAACGCUGCGAGAAGAUGCCAGAGAUGUAUGGCUUCAAUCGACCCGUCUUGAAACACGGACCAAGGAGUUCAAUGUGUUCGCGAGUGUGAGGGUGGGACAAACCCGAACACGAAACAAACGUGAAUGGUGAGAAGCAGUGUGAUUAAAGCACCGCCGCAUCACCGACCAGUCCUGAAGAACAAGGGAACAAAAACAUUGUGCAAACAGUGCCUUUCCUUUGCUACUGAAAAGGAUAAGAGUCAGAGUGAACACAUUGAGACCCGAAAGAUGGUGAACUAUGCCCGGGGAGGAAGAAGUCAGGGGAAACCCUGAUGGAAGUCCGCAGCGAUACUGACGUGCAAAUCGUUCGUCAGACCGGGGUAUAGGGGCGAAAGACCCAUCGAACCAUCUAGUAGCUGGUUCCCUC
rnacentral:misc_RNA from 1 species